rnacentral:rRNA from 1 species
CCUACGGGGGGCUGCAGUGGGGAAUAUUGGACAAUGGGCGAAAGCCUGACCCAGCCAUGCCGCGUGUGUGAAGAAGGCCUUCGGGUUGUAAAGCACUUUCAGUGGGGAAGAAAGCCUUGGGGCUAAUACCCUCGAGGAAGGACAUCACCCACAGAAGAAGCACCGGCUAACUCCGUGCCAGCAGCCGCGGUAAUACGGAGGGUGCGAGCGUUAAUCGGAAUUACUGGGCGUAAAGCGCGCGUAGGCGGUCUGAUAAGCCGGUUGUGAAAGCCCCGGGCUCAACCUGGGAACGGCAUCCGGAACUGUCAGGCUAGAGUGCAGGAGAGGAAGGUAGAAUUCCCGGUGUAGCGGUGAAAUGCGUAGAGAUCGGGAGGAAUACCAGUGGCGAAGGCGGCCUUCUGGACUGACACUGACGCUGAGGUGCGAAAGCGUGGGUAGCAAACAGGAUUAGAUACCCGGGUAGUC